UUUAAAUUCUAUAAAGGACUAUAUUCGCAGCUCACUUUUAUCAAUAAAUUCGUGUAUUUAUUUAUGAUAUUCUAUAAUAUAUGUAACGUGAACUAUAUACUAAAUGCACGCAUUUAUUAUAAAAGUAAGCUGAGAAUAUGGACCAAAAUGUUUAAAUAAUGCAUUUAAUUACUUGGAUAUAAAUCAGUACAUCGGUUGCAUAGUUGACAAAAGAAUUUCAAUUUAUGUCCGAUAACUAUGGUAUAUUCAUUUGCAUGUCUGGACUAUUUUCAACAGCUUACUGCAGCUUAUACAUUUUCACUUAUGUAUUUCCUUUUUAAAAUACAGCAUAAAUGUGGAUAUUGUGGGUGGCUCUUUAGCUUCACCACAAAUUUUAUUGAUCAUAAGUGCUUCAAGCAGUACGCUGAAGGAGAAGACCACAUCAGCAUCGAUGAAAACCAUAUCGUAACAAUAAGUAUAAUUUGUUGGCAAGAACCGCUAAUACAAGAUUAGAAUCCAUGUUUAAGAGAUUCCAGGUUUUUUGUGCUAGACACGCGUCGUCAACCAGUCAACCACUCCGUAUACUUUAUUUAGGUUAUUUCACGCAUACUCGUACAUACAUUACACACAUAUAUUACGCUUCAACACAUUCUUACAUCAAAGUAUCUAUUUCACAUGACGCGUAUUUAGCAAUACGCUUAAAUAAUAACAACCAAUCGAUUUAUUUCUGUUGUAUUGUACAACAGAAGUCCUGAUCUGUUAUUGGUCAGGCUUGUUACGCUUUAUGCGCAUUUAACGCAAAGUACGCGCCAUGUAAAAUGGAAUUUUCAGAAUAGCGUACAUUCUAGUAAUUUACUAGAAUACGCAGUGUGCCUAUUCUAGCUACUCACUAGGUUACGCAGGUUACGCUUACGCAAGUUACGCUCCAUGUAACGGCACCCUGAGAGAGGAGAGUGAUUGAAAUGGGUGGUCUCGGUCUGUGUGAGAGUGAGAGAGAGGGAGAGAGAGAGAGGAAGAGGAGAGAGAUGGAAGAAGGAGGAAGAGUGAAAAGAAGGAAAGGAAAGAGAGAGGAAGUAUAUUACUAGCUAUUCCAGAAAUAUUUUUUAUCCUUUCUCUUUAUAAACAUCUUUCGAUGGCUGACUCAUUCCUAAAGGUGCCCUUUCAUGCAGCGAAUUUUUCGCUGCGAAUGAUUUUUAGCGAGUAGCGAAUAAUUCGCCGUAAAGUGGCGAAUAAUUCGCCACGAAUAGUUUGUGAGCGUCACAUCUGUAUGGUUGCGUGUCAACAAUAGAAAAUCUUGAAAUCUUUGUAAUGGACGACGAGUCGGUUAUAAACUGGACUUGGUAUAACCACCAACUGCAGUGGUUAUUGCAUAUGUACAAUAUGUACAAUAAGCAAAUUAUUAUUAUAUUGUACAGGAAAGAAAAGCUGCUGCAGUUGCAGCUACACUUUUACAUUUGAGAAAAAGUGGAAAAAAAA